UUUUCCGCUGACGACCGGCGCACGGGUGCGUAACACGUAUGCAACCUACCUCUUACUGAGGAAUAGCCCAGAGAAAUUUGGAUUAAUACCUCAUAACACCACAAGAUCGCAUGAUCUAAUGGUUAAAGGUUACGGUAAGAGAUGGGCAUGCGGCCUAUUAGUUUGUUGGUGAGGUAAUGGCUCACCAAGACUACGAUGGGUAGGGGGUCUGAGAGGACUAUCCCCCACACUGGUACUGAGACACGGACCAGACUCCUACGGGAGGCAGCAGUGAGGAAUAUUGCGCAAUGGACGAAAGUCUGACGCAGCCAUGCCGCGUGAAGGAUGACGGCGCUACGCGUUGUAAACUUCUUUUAUAUACCAAGAAACCUUCGGACGUGUCCGAAGCUGACGGUAGUAUAUGAAUAAGCACCGGCUAACUCCGUGCCAGCAGCCGCGGUAAUACGGAGGGUGCAAGCGUUAUCCGGAUUUAUUGGGUUUAAAGGGUCCGUAGGCGGAUCAUUAAGUCAGUGGUGAAAUCCGACAGCUCAACUGCCGAACUGCCAUUGAUACUGAUGAUCUUGAGUACGGUUGAAGUAGGCGGAAUAUGACAUGUAGCGGUGAAAUGCUUAGAUAUGUCAUGGAACACCGAUUGCGAAGGCAGCCUACUAAGCCGUUACUGACGCUGAGGGACGAAAGUGUGGGGAGCGAACAGGAUUAGAUACCCUGGUAGUCCACACCGUAAACGAUGAUUACUCGGUAUUGGCUUUAUUGUCAGUGCCCAAGCGAAAGUGAUAAGUAAUCCACCUGGG
rnacentral:rRNA from 1 species